rnacentral:lncRNA from 1 species
CAAACUGUUAUUUGAGAGUAGAAGAAACUGAAGGGAAGUCAAGUUGCAGAUGGAGAAUGGAAGCUCACCAUUUAAUUUGUUGGAAGAGAGCAAUAAAUACUUCAAAUUUGAUAGAUUCCCAAUGGUGGAUGGUAUUGGACCUGGAAGUUUGAGAAGUCAACAUAAAUAUUGCUUUAGAGACAAUUUGGAUACAUAAAAAAACAUGGCAAUGAAGAAAUACAUUUUAUGCACAUGAAUUAUUUUGAUAGAAAUUAAAUUACCUCUUCUAUUCUUAUAUCACCCACGCAUGUCUCAUAUAUUCAAUGGCAUCUUAAUUUAAUAUAGCAUUCGCUAACAUUGAUCCUUAAAAUUAAUGGAGUUACAAUAUGGCUGGAAACAACAAAUCCAACUAUUGUUAAAGUAUUUAGUUAAUUAAUCACGAGUUAAUUAAAUGAGAACAACCUAGCAAGUUGAGAAAUCAAAGAUUAAUUCAAAAUUAGAUAAGUCAUCCUUUUCUAUCUCAUAUUGCAGAUGGAGUGACAAAGGAAUUAGACAAAUCGCAUAUCUUAUAAGAACACACGUUAGGCAAAUUUCCUUGCAAUUUAUUAACACUCAAAUUGUUAGACUCAAAAAUACGCCCUCUCAUAAAUAUUGAUGGAAUGGGGCCACUAAAGUGAUUUGCAUUUAGAUGAAAUAUGUCUAAAGAUUUCCAAACUGUUAUUUGAGAAAAUAAGAAUUUGAAGGGAUGUCAUGUUGCACAUGGAGAAUGGAAGCUCACCAUUUAAUUUGUUGGAAGAGAGUUGUAGCAACCGCAAAUUGGAUAGAUUCCCAAUGGUGGAUGGUAUUGGACCUAAACAUUAAAGAACCCUUCGUUUCAAUCGCUUUAAAGAUGGAGCAUAGUAAGAAAGACAUUUUGUUUUGUACUUGAAAACAUACGCUGAAACUUUAUUAUUUUUUAUUUCUUACUCUUAUUUUUUAAUAAAGUCAAUCACUUUUUCAACUCCCAAUACACUUAUUUAACAUUUUAUUAAAACUCGUGCUACAAAAAUGAUGCACACUUUUAUGGAACGUAUAAAGUAUUAAUUUACAAGACAACUCAAUUUGCAAGUCAUUAUUUGACUUAUGUGACAAUGCCGCGUGGAAGUCAAAUCAUUGAGCCAUAUAUAAAUUUUGACUUCUACUCAAAUAACUAUUAAUUCAUCAAAAAUAUUAUAAAACUUAUUUUUGAGGAUUAGUUUAGAUGGAUAAAAGUAAGUGUUAAUAGAUAAAAAUGUCCACUUUCUUAAAUUUUUUAUGAAAGGGUCUUCUUUAAUAAAAACAUGUAUUCUAUUGAUUCUUAGAUAAAACUAUCAGUCAAUCAAAAAUAGUUUUUAUAAAAUUUAGACAACCCUAAAUUCUUUUCCAUAUUUUUGAAUUAUUUCAAAACUAAAUUAUUAUUCCAAUCAAAGUCAAUAAAGACAUAAUUAAAAAAAAAUAGGCAUAACAAGGUAGUGAAAGCAUGAAAUUGAAUGACAUUAUCAACUAAUUUCUAAAAAAAAAUACAUGAACGUCAAAGUUGUAAAAUUUCUGUGGAAUAAUAUAAUUUAUUAAAAAUGGACGUGUAUCAAUAAUAAACUAAGUAAAGAUCUUCUAUAUUUCUUAUAGAAAAGUCGGGAUAUCACACGAGCUGAUAGGAUUAUCAUAUAAAUAAAUAUAUUCUAUCAACAACAAAUUAAAAAUAGAUAGAGGAAAUCGUACCAUGAAAAGAGUUUCCACUCAUAUCAAGAUAAACAAGUGAAGACAGAUUUCCAAUUUCUAGUGGCCCCAUUAUCCUUCGAGUCUCACAAGUCACACCCCAUCUAGAGUUCUAAUUAAGUCACUCUAUUAUCCAUGUGAAAAAGAGAUUACACUGCUCCAAUUAUUUUUCAAAAUAUUAGAGUAUGUUUUCCUUUUUCGCAACUUUUUUUUUAUAUAAAUCUAUUUCAUAUUGCAGUUGGAGUGACAAAGGAAUUAGACAAAUAGCAUAUCUUAUAUGAACACACGUAUAGGCAAAUUUCCUUGCAAUUUAUUAACACUCAAAUUGUUAGACUCAAAAAUACACCCUCUCAUAAAUAUUGAUGGAAUGGGGCCACUAAAGUGAUUUGCGUUUAGAUGAAAUAUGUCCAAAGAUUUCCAAACUGUUAUUUGAGAAAAUAAGAAUUUGAAGGGAUGUCAUGUUGCACAUGGAGAAUGGAAGCUCACCAUUUAAUUUGUUGGAAGAGAGUUG